ensembl:lncRNA
GUGUGUGUGUCUGAGUCUGUGUGUGUGUGUCUGAGUCUGUGUGUGUGUGUGUGUGUGUGUGUGUGUGUGUGUGCAUGCGUGCCAGAGUACUCAUGUCUGAAUGAGUGGAAAGCUUUUAGACGGCUCUUCCCUAAUCCAAACAUGCUCACUUACAGUCUCAGACACACACACAGAACGACACACACACACACACACACACACACACACACACACACACACACACACACACACUCACACACACACUCACACACGCACAGACACACACACACCCACUCACACACCUCCUUUGAGGCCUUGGGAGUGAGUAAUGAUGGCCUAAUCCAUCUUUGCCCACUAACACGCACGGCUCAAUAGCAGCAGCAGCGAAUAAAACACGCACUUAUGUAGAGUAGAGAGAGAGUGCAGUCAGACAGGUACUUGUGUGUGUAGAGUAGAGAGAGAGAGCAGUCAGACAGGUACUUGUGUGUGUAGAGUAGAGAGAGAGUGCAGUCAGACAGGUACUUGUGUGUGUAGAGUAGAGAGAGAGUGCAGACAGACAGGUACUUUUGUGUGUAGAGUAGAGAGAGAGGGCAGACAGACAGGUGAAUAAAACACGCACUUAGAGAGUAGAGAGUGCAGACAGUAUAUAAGUAGUAUAUAACCUGCAUGUAUACGUGUCAAGGUAUCUAAAUUAUAUAACCAGCAUGUAUACUGUACGUGCGACAAUGGUACAGGAGGUAGAGAAGUCGUUUAGUAAUCAGAAGGUUGCUAGUUCGAUUCCCUGUCGAAGCGUCCUUGAGAAAGACACUGAACCCCUAAUUGCUCCUGAUGUGCAGUGUGCCAUCAGUGUAAAUGUAAAAUGUAAAAUGUGUAUACAUUGUAAGUCGCACAUAUGUAAGUCACUUUGGAUAAAAGCGUCUGCUAAAUGACUAAAUGUAAAAUGUAAAUACGUGUCAAAGCAUCUAUAUAACCAGCAAGUAUACGUGUCAAGAGUCAAUCAGAAGCUAGAAUGUUAGAUUGAAGACAGCGAGAUAGAAGAAAGACGCUAGUUUGAAACCAGUGAGCUAAAGAACUUGAACAGACUGGAUUUGUUUUUGUUGUAAACUUUUUUUUUUUAUUUUCUUAAGUGUUUUGAGUUGUGUUCUGUCUACGCCGGUAGAAUGUGGUUAUUUUGACAUUAGUUAAGUUAUUGAGAGCUACUGAGAAAUCGCGUGGAGCUAAGCAUCCAUGAGGCUGCAUCCAUGCUAGCAUUCCUAGCUCCACAAAGCCACCGUAAACACUAAGCCACCGUAUACAGUCACAGGUAUCAUAAUCCAUAAAUUAGCCGCGUCAUUGUUUAAGCCGCGAGGUUCAAAGCGUGGGAAAAAAGUAGCGGCUUAUAGUCCGGAA